UCGUGUCGUGAGAUGUUCGGUUAAGUCCGCUACGAGCGCAACCCUCGCUGUGUGUUAUAUGUGUCACACAGGACUGCUGGUAUUAAGCCGGAGGAAGGUGGGACGACGUCAAGUCAGCAUGACCUUUAUAUCCAGGGCUACACACACGCUACAAUGGUCAGUACAAUGGGUUGCCAAGCCGCGAGGCGGAGCCAAUCCUAAAAAGCUGGCCUCAGUUCAGAUUGCAGUCUGAAACUCGACUGCAUGAAGUCGGAGUUGCUAGUAAACGCAGGUCAGCUAUACUGCGUUGAAUACGUUCCCGGGGCUU
rnacentral:rRNA from 1 species